GAUGAACGCUGGCGGCGUGCCUAAUACAUGCAAGUCGAGCGAACAGACGAGGAGCUAGCUCCUCUGACGUUAGCGGCGGACGGGUGAGUAACACGUGGAUAACCUACCUAUAAGACUGGGAUAACUUCGGGAAACCGGAGCUAAUACCGGAUAAUAUAUUGAACCGCAUGGUUCAAUAGUGAAAGACGGUUUUGCUGUCACUUAUAGAUGGAUCCGCGCCGCAUUAGCUAGUUGGUAAGGUAACGGCUUACCAAGGCAACGAUGCGUAGCCGACCUGAGAGGGUGAUCGGCCACACUGGAACUGAGACACGGUCCAGACUCCUACGGGAGGCAGCAGUAGGGAAUCUUCCGCAAUGGGCGAAAGCCUGACUGAGCAACGCCGCGUGAGUGAUGAAGGUCUUCGGAUCGUAAAACUCUGUUAUUAGGGAAGAACAAAUGUGUAAGUAACUAUGCACGUCUUGACGGUACCUAAUCAGAAAGCCACGGCUAACUACGUG
rnacentral:rRNA from 1 species